rnacentral:rRNA from 1 species
GUUGGCGAGUGGCGAACGGGUGAGUAAUAUAUCGGNNACGUACCCUNGAGUGGGGGAUAACGUGAAAGUGGGGGAUCGCAAGACCUCAUGCUCGUGGAGCGGCCGAUAUCUGAUUAGCUAGUUGGUAGGGUAAAAGCCUACCAAGGCAUCGAUCAGUAGCUGGUCUGAGAGGACGACCAGCCACACUGGAACUGAGACACGGUCCAGANUCCUACGGGAGGCAGCAGUGGGGAAUUUUGGACAAUGGGCGAAANCCUGAUCCAGCAAUGCCGCGUGAGUGAAGAAGGCCUUCGGGUUGUAAAGNUNUUUUGUCAGGGAAGAAACGGUGAGAGCUAAUAUCUCUUGCUAAUGACGGUACCUGAAGAAUAAGCACC